GACGAACGCUGGCGGAGUGCUUAACACAUGCAAGUCGAACGAAAAAUCAUUGAAAGCUUGCUGAUAUGAUUUUUAGUGGCGGACGGGUGAGUAACGCGUGAGGACUUGUCCAAUACAGGGGGACAACAGUUGGAAACGACUGCUAAUACCCCAUAAGCCUUAGGGUAAAAGGAGCAAUCCGGUAUUGGAGAGACUCGCGUCCUAUCAGCUAGUAGGUGAGGUAACGGCUCACCUAGGCGAAGACGGGUAGCCGGCCUGAGAGGGCGAACGGCCACACUGGAACUGAGACACGGUCCAGACUCCUACGGGAGGCAGCAGUGGGGAAUAUUGGGCAAUGGGGGCAACCCUGACCCAGCGACGCCGCGUGAGUGAAGAAAUCCCUCGGGAUGUAAAGCUCUGUUGUGUGGGAAGAUAAUGACGGUACCACACGAGGAAGCCCCAGCAAACUACGUGCCAGCCGCCGCAGUAA
rnacentral:rRNA from 1 species